AUUGAUAUCAUGUUUUUCUCCUUCAAUUAUAUCAAUUAUUAUCUGAUUACAUAAUCUUAAACCAACCUUCCAUGGAGUCACAGUUCUCUGUGGGGGCAUCAGAGUGGACAAAUACUGCUCCUAAAGAAUGGGUGUAAAGCUGAGGAUGCUGCCUCAUGAUGCUGCUCUGAACCUCUGAUGGCCUUUUUUUCUGGAUACCCUGAAGGAAAAAGAAAAAACAAACAUGAAUGACCCAUGUUUUAGGUGCAAUGUGAUAAAAUAACAAUUAAAUAAAGCAAUCCCUUUCAUGUAA